CUAGCGUUAUCCGGAUUUACUGGGCGUAAAGGGUGCGUAGGCGGUCUUUCAAGUCAGGAGUGAAAGGCUACGGCUCAACCGUAGUAAGCUCUUGAAACUGGGAGACUUGAGUGCAGGAGAGGAGAGUGGAAUUCCUAGUGUAGCGGGGAAAUGCGUAGAUAUUAGGAGGAACACCAGUUGCGAAGGCGGCUCUCUGGACUGUAACUGACGCUGAGGCACGAAAGC
rnacentral:rRNA from 1 species